rnacentral:rRNA from 1 species
AUUGAACGCUGGCGGCAUGCCUUACACAUGCAAGUCGAACGGCAGCACGGGUGCUUGCACCUGGUGGCGAGUGGCGAACGGGUGAGUAAUACAUCGGAACAUGUCCUGUAGUGGGGGAUAGCCCGGCGAAAGCCGGAUUAAUACCGCAUACGAUCUACGGAUGAAAGCGGGGGACCUUCGGGCCUCGCGCUAUAGGGUUGGCCGAUGGCUGAUUAGCUAGUUGGUGGGGUAAAGGCCUACCAAGGCGACGAUCAGUAGAUGGUCUGAGAGGACGACCGGCCUCACUGGGACUGAGACACGGCCCAGACUCCUACGGGAGGCAGCAGUGGGGAAUUUUGGACAAUGGGCGAAAGCCUGAUCCAGCAAUGCCGCGUGUGUGAAGAAGGCCUUCGGGUUGUAAAGCACUUUUGUCCGGAAAGAAAUCCUUGGCUCUAAUACAGUCGGGGGAUGACGGUACCGGAAGAAUAAGCACCGGCUAACUACGUG